ACUAUUUUGACAGAUAAUUGUAUUAAAUUUAGAAUUUAAUAAUGAAUAAUUUNWAAUUAUUCAAAUAGUA
rnacentral:tRNA from 1 species